AUGGCGCUGACGAGUCACCUCCUGGUCGUCCUCCUCGGCAUCGCAGUGCCGCUGCUCUUCUUCUCCCGUGCAGAGGGGGGCCAGGUAGGCGUGUGCUAUGGGAGGAUGGCCACUAACCUGCCUGACCCGACGUCCGUGGUGAAACUGCUCAAGAAGAACAGCAUCACCAUGGUGAGGAUCUACGACACUGACCCGACGGUGCUGCGCUCGCUGGCCAACACCGGCAUCAAUGUCACGGUGGAGCUAACCAACGAGGAGCUGCCCUCCGCUGCCGCGGACCAAAAUUUCGCUGAUCAAUGGGUGCAGAACAAUGUGAAGGCCUACUACCCGGCCACGCAGAUCAACGGCGUGACGAUCGGGAACGAGGUCUUCAAAGAGGCUAGUCAGCUCAACUCUCAGCUCGUCCCGGCCAUGAAGAAGGUGCAAGCGGCGCUGGCUCGCCUGGGCCUGGCGGACGCCGUGAAGGUGACCACGCCCAUCGCGUUCGACGCUCUCAAGAUGUCGUUCCCGCCGUCCGAGGGCGCGUUCCGUGACGACAUCGCGUUGUCGGUCAUGAGCCCCAUGGUCGACUUCUUGCAGGAAACCGGGUCGUACCUCAUGAUGAAUAUCUACCCGUACCUUGCGUACCUGAGCACUCCCGGCAUGUCCAUCGACUAUCUCUUGUUCCGCCCCAACGCUGGCAUUCUUGACAAGAAUAGCAAGCAAACGUACUUCAGCCUCCUCGACGCGCAGCUUGACGCUGUGUACUAUGCGAUGGAGAAGCUGCCGUCCUCCAGCCUGCGUGCUGGAGGGAUGAGGAAGCUCACAGCAGGGGGCGGAAUACUGGAGGUGAAGCUUGGUGAGAGUCACCACCCAACCAGAGGCCACCAUGGCGUGGGAACAACAGCCAACGCCCAAGCAUUCACCGAUGGUCUCAUGAGCAAAGUGCGUGGCGGUAACUCCGGCACCACCUCAAACAGAUAUAACCGGCUCGCCACCAGUGCUGUCGGCACCCCGCACCGUCCCAACGCCGAUCUUGACGUGUACAUCUUCGAACUCUUCAACGAGGACAACAAGCCCGAAGACGAGCAGGACUUUGGGUUGUUCUACCCGAACCAGCAGCCCGUGUAUCAAGUCGACUUUGUCCAUGGUGCCGGCCCCGUGCAACCGAGCUACUGUGCCGCGAAGGCCACGGCCGGGGACGCGGCCUUGCAGGCUGCGCUGGACUACGCGUGCGGCCACGGGGCGGACUGCAGCGCCAUCCAGCCAGGCAAGCCCUGCUACGAGCCCAACACCAAGCUCGCGCACGCGUCCUACGCCUUCAACGACUACUACCAGAAGAACGGCCAGGCCAGCAGCGCGUGCGACUUCAGUGGUGCUGCCACCAUUGUCAACCAGGCACCAUCAGGCCGGUGCGACCCGAGCCCGAGCUGGUGUGUGGCGAACGCGGCGGUGGGCGCCGCGCGGCUGCAGAAUGCACUGGACUACGCCUGCGGCCACGGCGCGGACUGCACGGACAUCCAACCCGGAGCACGGUGCUUCGAUCCCGACACCAAGGUCGCGCAUGCGUCUUUCGCGUUCAAUGACUAUUACCAGCGCCAUGGCCGGGGCGCCGGAACGUGCGACUUCGCCGGUGCCGCUACCAUUGUCCGGCAGGCACCAAAGAUAGGCAACUGCGUGCUGCCGUCAAGGGCCUGA
rnacentral:rRNA from 1 species